ensembl:lncRNA
GCUACACUUGGAGCCUACACCAUGCUCUUAUCAGCCUAGGCAAGGCACUGUCCGAAUCCCUGCUUUCCCCAGAGACUUCCGCCCCAGCCAGCAUCUGUUUCCUCUGCUAUAUUUAAACAACCAGGUUAGUGAACUUGGGACAGCAUUUCUGCCCAGGAGGAACAAAGCCUUCCACAGAACACACAGGAUAUAUUGUGAUUCUGAGGCCUUGUGGGUUGCUGUGUGCUCCUUCUCAGCUACUGGUGUGCCAGGAGGCUUGGUUGAUCAUCUGCUGCACCAGUUCCUCUGGAACCAUGGGAAGACCCAAGGUCUCGGGAAACAAGGGUGGCUGUUCAGUUGGUUGUCUUCAGCCAUCACUGGAAAGAGCCAAGGCGAGAAUCACAACUCAAACUUCUGCCUGAGUUUCAUCUCCUUUUGGUUCCAGGUUAAUUUAUUAAAAUCUCUAUGGACAUAAAAUAGACCUAAUUUAUAAAUCGUGCCACUUCCUGUGAUAUGGAGAGAUGUGUAAUUGAAGAAACCACUAGGCACAUGGUUUCAAGUCGUAUACAGGAGCACUAAUUCACAGCAGAACUGAAACAAUCCCAAGCCUAGGUUUCUUUCAUCAUUUGUUUAUUUGUCUUUAUUGUUGCU